rnacentral:rRNA from 1 species
UACGGGGGGGGCAAGCGUUGUUCGGAAUUACUGGGCGUAAAGGGUUCGUAGGUGGCUCGCUAAGUCAGACGUGAAAUCCCUCAGCUUAACUGGGGAACUGCCUUUGAAACUGUCGGGCUUGAGGCCGGGAGGGGGUAGCGGAAUUCCCGGUGUAGAGGUGAAAUUCGUAGAUAUCGGGAGGAACACCAGUGGCGAAGGCGGCGACCUGGGCCAAUAUUGACGCUGAGGUGCGAAAGCGUGGGGAGCAAACAGG